AGCCUGCCCAGUGACUAAGUUAAACGGCCGCGGUACCCUAACCGUGCAAAGGUAGCGCAAUCACUUGUUCUUUAAAUGAGGACUAGUAUGAACGGCAUCACGAGGGUUAUACUGUCUCCCUAUUCCAUUCAGUGAAACUGAUCUUCCCGUGAAGAAGCGGGAAUAUAAAUAUAAGACGAGAAGACCCCAUGGAGCUUUAAACUCAGUGUCACCUGCCACUUUGAUACCCUCUUAACCACGCAGACAUGAUAACUAGUUUUCGGUUGGGGUGACCGCGGAGUAAAACAAAACCUCCACAACGAAAGGAACUAACAACCUAAUCCAAGAGCAACAUCUCUAAGAAUCAACAAAUUGACUUAAUUGAUCCAAUUACUUGAUCAACGAACCAAGUUACCCUGGGGAUAACAGCGCAAUCCAUUUCAAGAGCUCAUAUCGACAAAUGGGUUUACGACCUCGAUGUUGGAUCAGGGUAUCCCAGUGGCGCAGCAACUACUAACGGUUCGUUUGUUCAACGAUUAAA
rnacentral:rRNA from 1 species